rnacentral:lncRNA from 1 species
GUUGGCCGAGCUUUUCAGAAAAUCAAGUUUCUUCCAUAUUUCCAAGCUGGGGGAAUGAGUCCUAGAUGAGUGGGACCCCAGCGUGGCUGGGGAAGGAAACCACAGGUGCUGCUACCAGAAGAAGUACGGUCCACAUUCGGGGUGAGUUUUUCCACAUCAAUUAAGACAAUCAGGAUAAUUCCUCAGGUGAAGCUCCCUACUCACGUGAUGAAGUGGCAAGCUGACAAUGAACCAACCUCUAUCCUGUACUCUCUCUCCAAGGGUCACAAAGGAGAAUACACAGCAAGGUCGCCUGUUCGAAAGGAAAAUUUCUCACACUUCAAAGGACCUGGAUCACCCACAUUAAUCAGGUGGAUGUGUCGAAGCCUGAGAACCCAAAAUAUCUGAGAAGUCAGAGAAUAGAGGUUUAAAAAUAUGAGGACACAGACGCCAAGAGGACAAGAGGCUUCUGCAAAAGGACACCGAUCCGAACACAUGAGUUCUCAUAGAGGAAAUGGACACUUUAGAACAAUGUGGUGAAUCAAAUUACAUCAAGCUAAUUAUGAAUAGUUUUAAGUGAUGAAAUGAAUUGGAUUAUUUGUCAUCUCCCCUCCCCCACCCUGAGGCAGGGACCUUGUAGACAUAUUGUUCUCGUACUUUUUAUAUAGCCAAGGAUGAUCUUGAAUUCUUGAUUUUUCUCUGCCUCCACCCCUUGUUUCCAGGAGCAUAGAUUAAUCAUCUUGAACCCCUCCCCCAAACCUAAGCAAACAAAUAAACAAAAGGAAAAAAUAGAAAGAAGAGAGAAUGUCCCCAAUACAUAGGGGUAUUAUUUUAUUUUUUCUUUAUUAUGUUUUAAUUAAAAUACAAUUAUGCUGUUUUUCCCCAUUUUCCUCCCUCCAGUCCCUCUCAGCUACCCUCUUUUUUCUUUUUUAUGGCUUCUCUCAAGGUUCCACUUUUCGUUCUUUGCAUUCUUCACUUCUUUUAUUGAUUUUCUGUCUUUCAUAUCAUUUAUCUCCAUCUCACUCAUUUCCUUGUACCUUUGUAUCCACCCUCUACCCCUGCAACCUCCCAGGAAGAAAAAAAUCAAUCUCAUCAUGGAAGCUGUAGUGUGCCACAGCAAAUCCUGCAGUAAAACCUUUUAUCCAUAUAUCUUUACUUGCAAAUGAUUAUUGCAGAUUGGGAGAGCUGGCCCUGAUAUCAUAAGUGUGAGAGAGCUGGUUUUGCUCCUCAUCAACUGCAGUACUCCAGCUCUUAAUGUUUUAAAAAGGAAAUACAGCUUUGUAGUUCAGCUUGUAAGCAUUUGACUUGGGAUGUGACAUAUCCUCAAGCUAAACUAAGAUAAUCUAGUUGUAGAACAUUGAAAAUGUGAUUUUAAUUUUUUUUAAAUUUAAAUUAGAAACAAGAUUGUUUUACAUGUCAAUCCCCGUUCCUCUCCCUCUCCCUCUCCUCCUCCCCUGCCCCCCACUAACACCCUAACUAUCCAAUACCAUUUCUGCUCACCAGGGAAAAG